CUCUUUUGAAAAUUAUCCAAUUAAACACAUAUGAAAUUUAAAAUUCUCAUUUAAUUUCAAUUAUUCCUUCAUUUCAAAAAACAUUUUUUUUUCUGUUUACUGCCCAUCGCUCUGCCGUUCUUCUCUACCGACAAAGCAUCUAAGGUGGCCGGUGAGUUCAAAACAUUUUAUUCUUUUUUCUUUUUUGUCAAAAACCUUUCGAAAACAAACUUCAUUUUCUCUUCUCACUUAAGAAAAACCUUCUGAUAUCUUUCUUUUAAUUUUUUUAGAUCUGGAUUUCAUAUCUUAUUUUCUGCAAAAGAAAAAAAAAACGAAAAAGGUAAAAGAAACGGAGACGGGGAGAGAAUCGGAGUUCGUUCGUCACUACGCAUGCAAAGCGAAAACGAAAGCGAAAAGGAGAAGACCUCUCACCUUCGAUUUCCUCUCCUUUUUAUUUCAUCUCUUUUUUUUUUCAAUCUUCACUACCCAGUCACUUCUUUUUUUCGUUUUUCAAAAGCAUACGGUCUUUUUCUUUUCCGGUUUUUUCGACUGACUUCCCCCUCAUUUGUUUUCAGGUCCCCUCUUUAUACAUUUUCAUCGCUGAUUAUUGCUGUUUUUGUGCAACAAAUUUUGAUUUUCUUAUGUGUGAUCUGAGUUGAAAUCUGCCGUAACCGUUUUCGCUUUUGGGAAUGAAAGGGUUGAGAGGGAGAGGGAGAGGGAGAGGGAGAGAGUGUCUGUCUGUCUGUCUGUCUGUCUGUCUGUCUGUCUGUCUCUGUGUGUGUGUGUGUGUGUGUGUGCGUGUGGACAGCCACCAGUUGCGGCGGCUAGGUUUCAGCAACCCUGCCAAAUGAUCCCACGUAUGGGCUUUGGGCUUUGCAAAUGAACUGGGUCUAAAUGGGCUUUGGACCUCAAAACAGGUUUUAGACAAUUUUGAAAUGAAUUGGGCUCAAAGCUAAAGAAAAUUUUGGGCUAGCAGCUUAUUUGUGCUCCAAAUUAAGGACCAAAACAGAAUUUAAAAUUGGGCUCAAGUUUAUUAAGGCCUGUUCAAAAUGAACCCUAAUUUGGGCUUUUCAAAUAGAAAAAAAAUUUGGACAUUAAAUUGGGUUUUUAACAUAUUCAAUUUUUAUUUGGACUUUUAAAAAGAAUAGAAAACCAGGUUUGGUUUGGGCUUAUUUUAAAAAGUAAAAACAAAAUCAAUAUGGACUUCAAAAAUUUUAUUUUGGGUUUUGGAAAACGAAUUUAAAGAGAAUUAAUUUAUUCCACAAAAUAAUUUUAUAUAAAAAUUAAUUAUUUUUUCAAAACAAAUUUUAUAUUUUUCUUUAAACAAAAGGUUUGAUAUUAUUAUUCUUUUAAUAAUUAACACUAAAGUAAUUAUUUUAGCCCAUUUCUUAAUUCUAAUUCUUAAAUUAAAUUGAUAACAAUUUAACUUUGAAAUCUAAAUAAUCAAUCAGAAAUUUAUGUCCUGAAAUUGAAAAUCUAGACAAAAUUAAGUAUUUAUAGUUGUUUCUUUUUAUGCGUUGUUUGCUUGUUGCUACAUACAUAGAUGAGGUGAAAUUUAUUAAACUCCAAUCACUAAAGCUGCCAAUUUGUAGGGUUGGGAAAUCAGUAGACUUGUGACGGCUUUUUAUAUAGGAUCUUGAUAUUUUUGGGUUGAGAUAUCUUCAUAGGUUUGAAGAUUUAUCUUUUAACUUCGAAACACAUUUUGAAUCACUCAAUUUUGAGUUUGGGGCUCAAGUUAUGACGUUUUAGUGAAGAUUGCGCGAGCAAAACUUUUGAACGGGAUUAUGAUGAGAAUUACAAAUUUCGAGCUUUUAAUUCGAGUUUAAAUUAUAUUGGAUUCAGGUUUUAGGCUUAAUUUUUAUUAUAUAUGAGUCGAAUAUUAUAUUUAUCUUAUCUUAUUAUUUUAUUUCACAUUUUUUAUAAUUAUUAAAUAGCUUAAGUUAUUUAGGAGUCUUAUGUUAAUAAGAAAGUUUAGUUUAAAACUACUUAUUUAAAUUAAAUUAGAGUUCUAAUAUACUUAAGAGUUUUAUUUAGAUUUAUUUAGUUAGCCUAUAUAUAGGCCUUUGCAUUGUACACAAUUCAUCCAAUUCAUUAUUAUUCUAUUUCUCUUUAAGUUAAUAAAUUCUCUCUAGGUUUUUCUUUUCAAGAAGUUCUCUUAAGUUUCUUUUAAAAGAGUUUUAACAAUCUUUUCAGAUUGUAGGGAUCAUCUUCAAACUUUUUUCCUGUCAAAAUUUUUAAUUAAAGCUGCUUGAAGGAGGGUUGUGUAUUCUUCGUGUUUUCAUGGCUUCUUAGGACUUCUACAUGCCACGUUCUAUCUUUUCAUUUAUCUUCUUUAUUCACUUCCUUAUUAUUCUAACCUUUGAUUUAUUAUUUUAUUUUAGUUAUUUAUCUUAAUUGUUUUAUCUGACUUAGAUUCGAUUCGAUUCAGGUUCGUGUCAAAAUACAAAUUUCUUUCCGAAUGUCUAUAGCCCUAACUCAGAUUCGUGACUUUGACAAACUUUAUAAUCCGCUUCCACAUUCAUCCAUCUCAUUCUUUAUUAUUUGGUAUCAGAUUUGAAAUUUUUUAGGUGUUCUUUUUAUUUUUAUAAACUGAUUUCUAGCGAACAGCCUUAAAACAAUUUUUUUUACCCUGAUAGAUUUCAGAAAAAAAUAUAUUUUUCAAUAGGUAAAUGUUUUUCAAAUGAUCUAAAAUUUUACAUACUACUUUUUGACACUAUUUUAGAGUAUAAAAAAUAUUUCCCACAAAAAAAGUGAUCGAAAAAGUACAGAAAAAAAGAAAAUACAAAAAACGAGGAAAAAAUAAUAAAAUAUUAUGUGGAUUGAAUUUUGUGCCAAAACUUUCCAGAUCAGAUCUAUAUUAUCUAAGGAGGCUCCAGUUUAAAUUUCGUGAUUUUUGGAAAUCAGGAACACCU
rnacentral:lncRNA from 1 species